CCCCCAGAGCUGCUGAAUCAGAAACUCUGGUGUUGGGGUCCAGUAGUUUGUGUUCUUACAAGCUUUCCAGGCGAUUUCAUGCUUCCUGAAGUUUGAGAACCAGUACGAUGUGCUGUAAGACAGUGCACCUCAUGGAUUGCUUAUACCACAGAUGGACUGCUCCCAUGCCUCAUCUUUGACUUGCCUCUACCAAUCACUGCUUUUGACAUCAGGCUAAAUGCAGUAUCCUAUAUCUUCUUAUUGGGCAAUACAGAAGAUCAAUGGGGAAAGCAAGAUACAUGUUUUAAAAUAUAGAAUACCAGAAUGCAUUCUAAAUUGUGCUCAGGGCUGUGUCUUCAUUCCUUCAGACAAGAGCCAAAAGUAAAAGGAACAUUCUCUUUAAUGGUUGUAACUACAUUGAUUUUUUUUUUAUCAUUGUUGUCACAGAAGAUGUAAAAGAUUUUUUCAAGACGAUUCUUUUCAUGAUGAUGAUAACAUUUAUAUUCUACUAGCCUUAUAGAGAGAAAAAAAGCAGAAUGUAUGUCUCUUAUUGUGUAAAAACAAUGGAGUUGUUGCAUAAUGAAGUGGAAAAGAAAGUAAGUGAACACAAUAUCAUUAUAGUAUAUUAUAAGCCAUUAACAGCAUGUGAGAAAUAAGUGAGUUUUGUUUGAUUGUCCAAAGUUCUUUCAAAGUAGCUGAAUAAGUAGUUGAUACUUACACUGUAAAGAGAUUUUCUAAAAAAGUUGAAGAAAUAACUUUUGUGGUUCUAAGGCAGAUCCCUUAAAAUAUGAGAAAAAUGAAUUAAAAAAAUGAAGAGUGCAGCUACUCAAGAUGUUAUUGUUUAUCAAAAUGUAUUAACAAUUCAUGAGGUGAAUGAAUAAAGUCCUUCCCAUAUGA